rnacentral:tRNA from 1 species
AGGAUAAUAGUUUAAAAAAACAUUUAAUUUGCAUUUAAAAAUUAUUAUUAUUAAUUUAUCUU